UACGGAGGAUGCAAGCGUUAUCCGGAAUGAUUGGGCGUAAAGCGUCCGCAGGUGGCAAUGUAAGUCUGCUGUUAAAGAGUCUAGCUCAACUAGAUAAGAGCAGUGGAAACUACAUAGCUAGAGUACGUUCGGGGCAGAGGGAAUUCCUGGUGUAGCGGUGAAAUGCGUAGAGAUCAGGAAGAACACCAGUGGAGAAGGCGCUCUGCUAGGCCGUAACUGACACUGAGGGACGAAAGCUAGGGGAGCGAAUGGG
rnacentral:rRNA from 1 species